GAUGAACGCUGGUGGCGUGCCUAACACAUGCAAGUCGAGCGAUUCUCUUCGGAGAAGAGCGGCGGACGGGUGAGUAACGCGUGGGUAACCUGCCCUGUACACACGGAUAACAUACCGAAAGGUAUGCUAAUACGAGAUAACAUGCUUUUAUCGCAUGGUAGAAGUAUCAAAGCUUUUGCGGUACAGGAUGGACCCGCGUCUGAUUAGCUAGUUGGUGAGGUAACGGCUCACCAAGGCGACGAUCAGUAGCCGACCUGAGAGGGUGAUCGGCCACAUUGGAACUGAGACACGGUCCAAACUCCUACGGGAAGCAGCAGUGGGGAAUAUUGCACAAUGGGCGAAAGCCUGAUGCAGCAACGCCGCGUGAGCGAUGAAGGCCUUCGGGUCGUAAAGCUCUGUCCUCAAGGAAGAUAAUGACGGUACUUGAGGAGGAAGCCCCGGCUAACUACGUG
rnacentral:rRNA from 1 species